rnacentral:rRNA from 1 species
UAGCAUAUCAAUAAGCGGAGGAAAAGAAACCCACCGGGAUUGCCCUAGUAACGGCGAGUGAAGCGGCAAGAGCUCAAAUUUGAAAGCUGGCUCCUUCGGGGUCCGCAUUGUAAUUUGCAGAGGAUGCUUCGGGAGCGGUCCCCAUCUAAGUGCCCUGGAACGGGCCGUCAUAGAGGGUGAGAAUCCCGUAUGGGAUGGGGUGCCCGCGCCCGUGUGAAGCUCCUUCGACGAGUCGAGUUGUUUGGGAAUGCAGCUCUAAUUGGGUGGUAAAUUUCAUCUAAAGCUAAAUAUUGGCCGGAGACCGAUAGCGCACAAGUAGAGUGAUCGAAAGAUGAAAAGCACUUUGAAAAGAGAGUUAAACAGCACGUGAAAUUGUUGAAAGGGAAGCGCUUGCGAUCAGACUCGCUCGCGGGGUUCAGCCGGCCUUCGGGCCGGUGUACUUCCCCGCGGGCGGGCCAGCGUCGGUUUGGGCGGCCGGUCAAAGGCCCCUGGAAUGUAACGCCUCUCGGGGCGUCUUAUAGCCAGGGGUGCCAUGCGGCCUGCCCGGACCGAGGAACGCGCUUCGGCUCGGACGCUGGCAUAAUGGUCGUAAGCGACCCGUCUUGAAACACGGACCAAGGAGUCUAACAUCUACGCGAGUGUUCGGGUGUCAAACCCGUGCGCGCAGUGAAAGCGAACGGAGGUGGGAACCCCUCGGGGUGCACCAUCGACCGAUCCUGAUGUUUUUGGAUGGAUUUGAGUAAGAGCGUAGCUGUUGGGACCCGAAAGAUGGUGAACUAUGCCUGAAUAGGGCGAAGCCAGAGGAAACUCUGGUGGAGGCUCGCAGCGGUUUUGACGUGCAAAUCGAUCGUCAAAUUUGGGUAUAGGGGCGAAAGACUAAUCGAACCAUCUAGUAGCUGGUUCCUGCGAG